rnacentral:rRNA from 1 species
UACGUAGGGCGCGAGCGUUGUCCGGAAUUAUUGGGCGUAAAGAGCUCGUAGGCGGUUUGUCGCGUCGGUUGUGAAAACCCAAGGCUCAACCUUGGGCCUGCAAUCGAUACGGGCAGACUAGAGUACUGCAGGGGAGACUGGAAUUCUUGGUGUAGCGGUGGAAUGCGCAGAUAUCAGGAGGAACAUCGAUGGCGAAGGCAGCCCCUUGGACCUGUACUGACGCUCAUGCACGAAAGCGUGGGGAGCAAACAGG